AACGAACGCUGGCGGCAGGCCUAACACAUGCAAGUCGAACGAGAAGCCACCUUCGGGUGGUGGACAGUGGCAGACGGGUGAGUAACGCGUGGGAACGUGCCUUUCGGUUCGGGAUAACCCAGGGAAACUUGGGCUAAUACCGGAUACGCCCUUCGGGGGAAAGAUUCAUUGCCGAAAGAUCGGCCCGCGUCGGAUUAGCUAGUUGGUAGGGUAAUGGCCUACCAAGGCGACGAUCCGUAGCUGGUCUGAGAGGAUGACCAGCCACACUGGGACUGAGACACGGCCCAGACUCCUACGGGAGGCAGCAGUGGGGAAUAUUGGACAAUGGGCGAAAGCCUGAUCCAGCCAUGCCGCGUGGGUGAAGAAGGCCUUAGGGUUGUAAACCCCUUUCAGCGGGGAAGAUAAUGACGGUACCCGCAGAAGAAGUCCCGGCUAACUCCGUGCCAGCCGCCGCAGUAA
rnacentral:rRNA from 1 species